rnacentral:rRNA from 1 species
AUGAACGCUAGCGGCAGGCCUAACACAUGCAAGUCGAGGGGCAUCACGAGGUAGCAAUACUUUGGUGGCGACCGGCGCACGGGUGCGUAACGCGUAUGUAACCUACCUAUAACAGGGGCAUAACACUGAGAAAUUGGUACUAAUUCCCCAUAAUAUUCGGAGAGGCAUCUCUCCGGGUUGAAAACUCCGGUGGUUAUAGAUGGACAUGCGUUGUAUUAGCUAGUUGGUGAGGUAACGGCUCACCAAGGCAACGAUACAUAGGGGGACUGAGAGGUUAACCCCCCACACUGGUACUGAGACACGGACCAGACUCCUACGGGAGGCAGCAGUGAGGAAUAUUGGUCAAUGGACGCAAGUCUGAACCAGCCAUGCCGCGUGCAGGAAGACGGCUCUAUGAGUUGUAAACUGCUUUUGUACGAGGGUAAACUCACCUACGUGUAGGUGACUGAAAGUAUCGUACGAAUAAGGAUCGGCUAACUCCGUGCCAGCAGCCGCGGUAAUACGGAGGAUUCAAGCGUUAUCCGGAUUUAUUGGGUUUAAAGGGUGCGUAGGCGGUUUGAUAAGUUAGAGGUGAAAUCCCGGGGCUUAACUCCGGAACUGCCUCUAAUACUGUUAGACUAGAGAGUAGUUGCGGUAGGCGGAAUGUAUGGUGUAGCGGUGAAAUGCUUAGAGAUCAUACAGAACACCGAUUGCGAAGGCAGCUUACCAAACUAUAUCUGACGUUGAGGCACGAAAGCGUGGGGAGCAAACAGGAUUAGAUACCCUGGUAGUCCACGCAGUAAACGAUGAUAACUCGUUGUCGGCGAUACACAGUCGGUGACUAAGCGAAAGCGAUAAGUUAUCCACCUGGGGAGUACGUUCGCAAGAAUGAAACUCAAAGGAAUUGACGGGGGCCCGCACAAGCGGAGGAACAUGUGGUUUAAUUCGAUGAUACGCGAGGAACCUUACCCGGGCUUAAAUUGCAGAUGAAUUACGGUGAAAGCCGUAAGCCGCUAGGCAUCUGUGAAGGUGCUGCAUGGUUGUCGUCAGCUCGUGCCGUGAGGUGUCGGGUUAAGUCCCAUAACGAGCGCAACCCCUACCGUUAGUUGCCAUCAGGUCAAGCUGGGCACUCUGGCGGGACUGCCGGUGUAAGCCGAGAGGAAGGUGGGGAUGACGUCAAAUCAGCACGGCCCUUACGUCCGGGGCUACACACGUGUUACAAUGGUAGGUACAGAGGGUCGCUACUCCGUGAGGAGAUGCCAAUCUCGAAAGCCUAUCUCAGUUCGGAUUGGAGGCUGAAACCCGCCUCCAUGAAGUUGGAUUCGCUAGUAAUCGCGCAUCAGCCAUGGCGCGGUGAAUACGUUCCCGGGCCUUGUACACACCGCCCGUCAAGCCAUGGAAGCUGGGGGUGCCUGAAGUUCGUGACCGCAAGGAGCGACCUAGGGCAAAACCGGUAACUGGGGCU